rnacentral:guide_RNA from 1 species
AAUAAGAACGGCAACAAUGUAUUGGAUGAUAGAACGAGGGAAAGAAAUGAAU